UGACUCUGAAGUCUCACAACAGAGACAACUACUGACUUGGAAAUACUAAAUGUAAUACUGGUAGAAAGGGGUCAUUCCUGGACUUUGGGUUUGCCACAAUUGUACCCUUCCAAAUUAUGUAAAAGAACACCAGCUCAGGACAGAGAUUGGGAGGAGAGACAGUGGCCCAUCUUCCCUUCCAUGGUCUCUAAAGCUGGUGGUGGAGGAGGACAAAGAAGAUGAGGAAGCUUUUGAGUAUCAGAGAACUGACAAGUUUCAGGACAACACUGAUUGACAUGAGGUGUGAAGUUAUAUAUGGGAGAAACAAGCUGUGGAAAUGAUGGCUGUCCCUUGGGAGCAAAAGAGACAGGAACAGCCUGUCUACUGCCUG